rnacentral:rRNA from 1 species
GAUGAACGCUGGCGGCGUGCCUAAUACAUGCAAGUCGAGCGAACAGACGAGGAGCUUGCUCCUUCGACGUUAGCGGCGGACGGGUGAGUAACACGUAGGUAACCUACCUAUAAGACUGGGAUAACUUCGGGAAACCGGAGCUAAUACCGGAUAAUAUUUCGAACCGCAUGGUUCGAUAGUGAAAGAUGGCUUUGCUAUCACUUAUAGAUGGACCUGCGCCGUAUUAGCUAGUUGGUAAGGUAACGGCUUACCAAGGCAACGAUACGUAGCCGACCUGAGAGGGUGAUCGGCCACACUGGAACUGAGACACGGUUCAGACUCCUAAGGGAGGCAGCAGUAGGGAAUCUUCCGCAAUGGGCGAAAGCCUGACGGAGCAACGCCGCGUGAGUGAUGAAGGUCUUCGGAUCGUAAAACUCUGUUAUUAGGGAAGAACAAACGUGUAAGUAACUGUGCACGUCUUGACGGUACCUAAUCAGAAAGCCACGGCUAACUACGUG